rnacentral:rRNA from 1 species
CCUACGGGAGGCAACUCUGACCCAGCAACGCCGCGUGAAUGAUGAAGGUCUUCGGAUUGUAAAGUUCUUUUCUAAGGGAAGAAGAAAGUGACGGUACCUUAGGAAUAAGCCUCGGCUAACUACGUGCCAGCAGCCGCGGUAAUACGUAGGAGGCAAGCGUUAUCCGGAAUGACUGGGCGUAAAGGGUGCGUAGGUGGUUUGACAAGUUAGUAGCGCAACUCCGGAGCUCAACUUCGGAACUACUACUAAAACUGUUGGACUUGAGUGCAGGAGGGGCAAUCGGAAUUCCUAGUGUAGCGGUGGAAUGCGUAGAUAUUAGGAGGAACACCAGUGGCGAAAGCGGCUCUCUGGUCUGUAACUGACGCUGAGGUUCGAAAGCGUGGGUAGCAAACAGGAUUAAAUACCCCUGUAGUC